rnacentral:rRNA from 1 species
CCAUAGUACGCUUUGGAAACNGUUUAACUUGAGUGCAGAAGGGGAGAGUGGAAUUCCAUGUGUAGCGGUGAAAUGCGUAGAUAUAUGGAGGAACACCGGUGGCGAAAGCGGCUNUCUGGUCUGUAACUGACGCUGAGGCUNGAAAGCGUGGGGAGCGAACAGGAUUAGAUACCCUGGUAGUCCACGCCGUAAACGAUGAGUGCUAGGUGUUAGNCCCUUUCCGGGGCUUAGUGCCGCAGCUAACNCAUUAAGCACUCCGCCUGGGGAGUACGACCGCAAGGUUGAAACUCAAAGGAAUUGACGGGGGCCCGCACAAGCGGUGGAGCAUGUGGUUUAAUUNGAAGCAACGCGAAGANCCUUACCAGGUCUUGACAUCCCGAUGCCCGCUCUAGAGAUAGAGUUUUACUUCGGUACAUCGGUGACAGGUGGUGCAUGGUUGUCGUCAGCUCGUGUCGUGAGAUGUAGGGUUAAGUCCCGCAACGAGCGCAACCCUUAUUGUUAGUUGCCAUCAUUCAGUUGGGCACUCUAGCGAGACUGCCGGUAAUAAACCGGAGGAAGGUGGGGAUGACGUCAAAUCAUCAUGCCCCUUAUGACCUGGGNUACACACGUGNUACAAUGG